GCCGGUGUAGCUCAGGGGUAGAGCAACUGAUUCGUAACCAGUAGGUCAGCGGUUCAAUUCCGCUCUCCGGCA
rnacentral:tRNA from 1 species